rnacentral:rRNA from 1 species
CCGAGUUAUUCAACUCAUCAACCCUGUGAACAUACCUAAACGUUGCUUCGGCGGGAACAGACGGCCCCGUGAAACGGGCCGCCCCCGCCAGAGGACCCCUAACUCUGUUUCUAUAAUGUUUCUUCUGAGUAAAACAAGCAAAUAAAUUAAAACUUUCAACAACGGAUCUCUUGGCUCUGGCAUCGAUGAAGAACGCAGCGAAAUGCGAUAAGUAAUGUGAAUUGCAGAAUUCAGUGAAUCAUCGAAUCUUUGAACGCACAUUGCGCCCGCCAGUAUUCUGGCGGGCAUGCCUGUUCGAGCGUCAUUACAACCCUCAGGCCCCCGGGCCUGGCGUUGGGGAUCGGCGGAGCCCCCCGUGGGCACACGCCGUCCCCCAAAUACAGUGGCGGUCCCGCCGCAGCUUCCAUCGCGUAGUAGCUAACACCUCGCGACUGGAGAGCGGCGCGGCCACGCCGUAAAACACCCAACUCUUCUGAAGUUGACCUCGAAUCAGGUAGGAAUACCCGCUGAACUUAAGCAUAUCA